CCUACGGAGGCAGCAGUCGGGAAUAUUGCGCAAUGGAGGAAACUCUGACGCAGUGACGCCGCGUAUAGGAAGAAGGUUUUCGGAUUGUAAACUAUUGUCGUUAGGGAAGAUAAAAGACUGUACCUAAGGAGGAAGCCCCGGCUAACUAUGUGCCAGCAGCCGCGGUAAUACAUAGGGGGCAAGCGUUAUCCGGAAUUAUUGGGUGUAAAGGGUGCGUAGACGGAAGAACAAGUUGGUUGUGAAAUCCCUCGGCUCAAAUGAGGAACUGCAACCAAAACUAUUCUCCUUGAGUGUCGGAGAGGAAAGUGGAAUUCCUAGUGUAGCGGUGAAAUGCGUAGAUAUUGCGCAGAACUCCGAUUGCGAAGGCAGCAUACCGGCGGCGAUCUGACGCUGAGGCACGAAAGCGUGGGUAUCGAACAGGAUUAGAUACCCUGGUAGUC
rnacentral:rRNA from 1 species